UACGUAGGUCUCAAGCGUUAUCCGGAAUUACUGGGCGUAAAGCGUCUGUAGCCGGAUGUAUAAGUCUGUCUUUAAAGACUCUGAUUCAAUCGGAGGAAAGGGAUAGAUACUGUAUAUCUAGAGAAUUUUGGGGGUUAGUGGAAUUUCCGGUGGAGCGGUGAAAUGCGUUGAUAUCGGAAGGAAUGCCAAAAGCGAAAGCAGCUAACUACGAAACUUCUGACGGUCAGAGACGACAGCUUGGGGAGCAAACGGG
rnacentral:rRNA from 1 species